rnacentral:tRNA from 1 species
GGCUUUAUAGUCACACUAAUGAUAUUAGACUGCAAUUCUAAAGGAGUAAAUUAAUUACUAAGGCUU